AACACACGUGUCUGUCAGUAUAGAACCCUAAUGAAAUCCCAAACCGACUCUUCAACAAGAGUUAUGUUUCAUCGACACCUGACCCCCAACGCCAGAUGACCAAAAACACCUCCAACAUCCAAGAUUGGGGCUUUUCAGAUUCGUGGACGAUCUCAGAUUGCGAAGAAACAAAACUGUUGUUGCUGAUACAUCAUCAUCAUUAUCAUUAUCGCAGAGAAAGAGAUCUCAUCUCAAUCUAAAGGAGACAGAGGAUGCAAUCUGCUUCAAGAUCAUGAUUUUUUUUCAACCAAUUUCAAUUUCUAUUGCUAAAGUUUAAACCUUUGCCUAUUGCGCAAUGGCUGCGUUUGUCGUUUGGUCCGUAUGAUUUGAAUUUCAUCCAAAGGUUGACCAAAAACACCUCCAACACCCAAAAAGAUUGGGGUUUUUCAUAUUCGUGGACGAUCUCAGAUUGCGAAGAAGCAAAACUGUUGUUGCUGAUCCAUCAUCAUCAUUAUCAUCAUCGCAGAGAAAGAGAUCUCAUCUCAAUCUAAAGGAGGAUGCAAUCUGCUUCAAGAUCAUGAUAUUUUUUCAACCAAUUUCAAUUUCUAUUGCUAAAGUUUAAACCUUUGCCUAUUGUGCAAUGGCUGCGUUUGUCGUUUGGUCCGUAUGAUUUGAAUUUCAUCCAAAGGGUUAUGGCUGUUCGUUCUGUGCUUGGAAAGCUGGGUAGGAGUAGAUUUAUUCCCGACAAUGGAAGACAUAUCAUGGUUGGGAGUUCUCCUACUGUUUGUUCCUCUCCUCAUCACCCUUUUGAUUAUUAUGGGGUCGUCCAUGAUCGAAACAAAGCGGAUCAAAAAAGCAACCCUUUUCUUCUUGGAUCGCUUAUGAAAGAGCCACUUUAUCGUCAUUUGGAUUUUGGAGGACUAGGACCUGCUCGUUUCGCCAUCGAAGAGUUGAGGAAGAAAAGGGUUUCAUUUUUUUUGCCCUUUUUUCUUUAGUACAGAUGCAUUACUACAAUAUAUGCGAGAUUUAGUCUUUCCUAAGAAGAGCUUCUUUAUUACUAAUGGUUUUGUGGAUUAUUAUUGACACGUUUGAUAUAUGUCUAAUGAUUUGGUAUCUCUUGUAGAAUAUCCAACUGCAGUCUGUGAGAGUGUUGAGGGUGUUAGCAAGGAAACAUGUUGGCUUGCCACGAUAUGAUUCUUACUAUGAUCUACUGCUGGAGGCAGUUGAUGCCGAUGUGAUGAGAUAUUUCGAAGUAACAGUGUCACUUAAUUCCAGGGAUGACUUCUGGUUGGAAGACUUUUGUCUUCUCGUUGAUAAUAAAAAACCUAUAAGAUUAUGUCAUCACCUAAGUACUAUAAUUAUGGCAUGCUGCUUUCACAAUAUCCUUAAGAAUUUAGUAUUAGUAAUGUGAUCAUUCCA